UCAGAUUGAACGCUGGCGGCAUGCCUUACACAUGCAAGUCGAACGGCAGCGGACCUUCGGGUGCCGGCGAGUGGCGAACGGGUGAGUAAUGCAUCGGAACGUGCCAUUGAGUGGGGAUAACGUAGCGAAAGUUGCGCUAAUACCGCAUAUUCUGUGAGCAGGAAAGCAGGGGACCGCAAGGCCUUGCGCUCUUUGAGCGGCCGAUGUCAGAUUAGCUAGUUGGUGAGGUAACGGCUUACCAAGGCGACGAUCUGUAGCGGGUCUGAGAGGAUGAUCCGCCACACUGGAACUGAGACACGGUCCAGACUCCUACGGGAGGCAGCAGUGGGGAAUUUUGGACAAUGGGGCAACCCUGAUCCAGCCAUGCCGCGUGAGUGAAGAAGGCCUUCGGGUUGUAAAGCUCUUUCGGCCGGGAAGAAAUCGCAUGGGUGAAUACCCUGUGUGGAUGACGGUACCGGAACAAGAAGCACCGGCUAACUACGUG
rnacentral:rRNA from 1 species